GCCUGGGUGGCUCAGUCGGUUGAGCGUCUGACUUCAGCUCAGGUCAUGGUCUCCAGUUCAUGAGUUCGAGCCCCAUGUUGGGCU
rnacentral:tRNA from 1 species